CCAAAUAGUCUUCUCUGAUUGGCUCUGUCAUCAAACCAAUGAAAAAGAAGAGCGCCAGAAGGAAAACAUGGCGGACCAGUAGAGUCGAAGCAGACGUAUCGCAGUAACUUGUGUAAACUAAAGACAAAGUGUAUUCGUUCAGGGGUUCAACAGGUUAUCCUUUGUCGUAGCUUAAACGUUUACGUGAAAUGUCACUGAGUGCCUCGUGUGAAUCGGUCCGCCAGAAAAGAAGUCUGUCAAGCCUCCUCGAUGGUAACCUUCUGAAGAGGCCAAAGCAAGGAGAUGGUCCGCGGCUGCAGGAGGCAGCCAUCCAGUUGUUGGAGCAGCAGCAGGAUCUGUGCAGCCUGUUCAAGGAGCUUGGGACGACAAACCCAAGCAAUGCUUUCAGUGCCGACACCGGCGUCUCUGGAGACGUCCCAUCAGCCGUCGAAGGAUCACUUUUGGUGUUCGGGCUGAGACGCCAAGCUCGGCAGCUCGCUGUCCCGGUGGCGACGCUCUCGGUGAAAGUGGUGCUGGAGAGGCUAAGAGAGAUCACUGCAGGUGAGGAGGACCGUGAGAGGGAUAUCCUCACCCGCUCUCAGAGAGUCCAGCUGUGUGCCCUCCUGGAGUCUAGCAGAGAGCUGCUGGCACAUGGAUGCCUCUGCCCCAAGCUGCUUUGGCAGGAGUACAGGAAGUAUCACAAACUACCGAAGCUGGAUGUGGUGUCCCAACUUCACGCUCACCGUAUCCUCAAGUUCAAGGACGUUUUAAUGAGUGACGAAGGCGUGAUGCUGUGGUUGGUGCCACAGUUGAAGGCUCUGUGCAGUUGGACACCUCCACAGGAAGAGGAAGAAACCGCGCACGCUCAGCAGAAAGUCUUGUCAGGUAUCGUUGGCUUGCUGGUCAGCAUUGGCUUCCAGUCCGGUCAUGAGCAAGCGGGAAUGGAGAAGUGCAGCUCAGCACUGGAUGCCAUGCUGUUCUGGCUUCUGGACACAACUGAUGUCAAUUCAACACAGACGUUACCUCAAAUCGCCACAAAUCGAUGGUGUCAGCUGUUGGACACCUUACCGUGUCAACUUUCAGCAUCCCCAGAGGCCAUUCAGCGCUUCUUCACGCAUUCCCUGACUCUGACGCUCACUUAUAAGCCUCAGCUGACAGUGUCAGAUGCAAUUAGUUUACAGAACAAGUGGACCUUUGCAAAAGCCAGUCGGUUGCUCACCUCUUUUUUUCACAAGUUGGUGGUGAUCUUCAGCAUCCAGCAGCUGCUGCAUCACCUGCAGCAGGUUUUAGAGACCCACGAGGUCAACUGGAAACACGUCCUGUGCUUCGUCUCCACUCUACUGGUGUACAGCCCUUCCGCACAGCCCGGCCUGAGAGAGCUUCUGUCCCGGUUGCUGACUUGUGCGUUUGAAGGUUAUGACUUGGAGAGCAUGAUAACUGCCUUCCUGUUGGCAAGACAGGGGGCACUGCAGGGACCCCCCAUCUUCCCCUCCUACAGCGACUGGUUCAAGGAGUCUUUUGGAGGAGCAAGUGGCGUCCACGCAACCAGCAAGAAAUCUUUUGUGUUCUUGCUGAAGUUUCUGUCUGACUUGGUGCCAUUUGAGCCACCACGGUACCUGAAGGUGCACAUUCUCCAUCCCCCAUAUGUACCUGUGAAACACCGCAGUCUCCUGAUGGACUAUGUUACCCUUGCCAAGACCAGACUGGCUGACCUCAAGGAGUCAGUGGAUGAGAUGGGUCUUUAUGGGGAUGUUUCUACUGCUGGAGCUGCUCCAGUGCAGGUUGUCGAGGAUGUGGAUAAGGCACUAUCUCUUUUUGAGAGUACAGGGAGAAUCUCUGCCACUGUCAUGGAGGCCAGUAUUUUUCGUCGGUCAUAUUUCCUCACACGGUUCCUUCCUGCUCUGCUGCAGCCAAAAGUGCUUCCAGUGAAAGCAGACACUCGGAUGAAGUUCAUCGUGGCCCUAAGAAAAGCAGAAAAGAUCCCUGCUGCACAGUAUUCAGCAUAUGUGGAGUCUUGCAACAGACUAAGACAGCAAGAGAGGAACGCCGUGUUUGAGGACAGCCAUGACCAUUCUUUGCAGGUCCUAAAGCUUCAGCUGCAGGAGCUAACAGCGCAAGUCGUUGAUGGAAAUGAAGGAGAUAUGUCAGCCCAGUUGUCCAGGAUUUCUCACACUUUGAGCUUCAUCUUUCCUGGUCUGGCUGAUGACGCCUUGGGACAGGAAGUCAUCCAACUCCAAGGCAACACGCAUGUGUUUUCAGAGCUCCACAUGAAUGUUGCCGACAUGAUUCUCAGAGGGUUUUGCCAGUGCAUUUUAGAUGCUUCCCGAGUGCUGUUGCCUAAUAAACAAAUGACAUGGGCUUCCAGGUUUGUUGGCGUACUGGUGUGUAACACACGGCAGCUCUCCUGCCUUCUAAACAGACUUUGGGAUCUACUACGUAACCAGGGGUCCUUACUGAGUGGCCCACACUUGCUCGGCCUUGCGGCUUUUGUGGUCCACCUCCAUGCUUCCAUGUUGCAAAGUCCGUUAGUUCAUCUGGUUUCACUGCAUCGACCCGUACCAGUGCCAAUCUCAGAGGCCCUUGGCUCAGCGCUGGUCUGCAGCACACAAACCAAUAUGCUGUUUUGUGUCAGAUUCUGUGUGGCUGCUGUGUGUUACGGGAUCUGUAGAGGUGACUCAUUGACUCAACAGCAGCAUUCCUUGGUUCCCAUCAGCUUUUGCAAGAAGCUUCAGUACCUCAUCCCAAGACUGUUGCCUGAAGCAAGAAGGACUCCUCAGGGCAAAGAGGCUCAGGAGACGGACAGACUUGGGCUGUGGAGCUAUACCGAAGGCAUCAGGACCAACUGGAAAAAGACAGCUUGGUGUCUGUGGAGACAUCCUGCUUUCCGUCAGCUCCAAGAAGCACCACAAUAUCAGUUAUCGUUCACAGAAUGGCUGGCAAAUGAACUCCAAGUGGAAAGAAGUCAAGACGCAUUGUGUGACUCAGAACGACUGGAGUACCAGCAGUGGGCAUGCCUGCACUUCUAUCUAACUCGUCCAGAGAAUCAGGGCGGCUGUGGAGGAAGCAUGAAGAGUCUUUUCUCUCAUCUGAUCAACGCCAUCAUGGACCAGCAGUGCAGUGGCAGUCAGGAGGAUCAGACAAUCUCACAGAGAGGAAGCUGUGCUCCAGACAUCAUCUGCACAUUACAGCAGGUGGUCUCUGAGAUGGAGUUGCCCACCCUGGUGGCCAGUCAUCCAGGCGGAGCUGAUUUAUGCGACCUCUUGUUUGAGUUGGUGUGUCAGAGGUUCUCUGGCUCACUGAACUCAGCUUCAGCGCAACUCGGCUGUGAAUACACACUGAGGACGUGGAACAGUGUACUGCUGGCACUCCCACCAGCAUCUUUUAUCAAGGUGAAGACUGAAGAAGGCAGCUGGCAUCUGGACUGUCACAAACUGAUCCAACAUGUCAACCAGCAUCAGAGGAGUGUGUGUUCCCCAGAUGGAUUGUUGUCCUUUCAUGUGACAUCACACUUCCUGAGAGGUAUUUUGCACGCCAGUGCAAGGUGCAGUCAUCUUGGUGAGGAAUUCAACAAGACCUGGUCUCACAUCAGCCAGCAUUGUCCUCUGCUGCUGGUCUCUACGGCGUUUUGGUGGGAGCGGCUGUCUACGGUGCUCAUGUCCUUCUGGUGUCAUCUGUGUGAUGGAGAGACCCCACCAGAGCAGCUGCAGAUUAUUGCUAGCAGUCAACGAUGGGCCUGCAGUUUAAUGGGCGGCCAGUUGUUGCAGGUCCCAUCAGCUGCAGCGCUGCUGUUAGCCUCCAGCCUUUAUGAAUGCCAAUCAAAGGUCCAGCGGGGUUUCCAUGCUGCUCUCAUCAUCCUGCAACCAGACAGGGACCUUCAACACAGAGAGGUUCUGGUCUUCCUGCUUUUCCUGAGUGUGAACGACUAUGUGUCAGCCCUCCUGUAUCCUCAGAAGUGUGAGCAGAAAGCCUUAAACCUGUGCACUGAAGUCUUGGCUGUGGUGGUGGAUGCUGCUGACUGGCUGCUCAUCUUUCAGUCCAACACUGCAGAAAGGGGUGUUUAUCAGAGUGUUACCAUGGUGAUGUCAGACAGAUGCACUCACCUGAUGCCGUGGGCUUUCUACAGUGUGCUGCUUCAGCAGAGUGCCGAGCUGCAGCGCAGAGCCGUGCGUUGCCCGGGCUUCCUCAGCACCGCCGUAUCCUGCUACGUUGGUCUGCUGCGGCUCUUCUUGGAUGGAAACACCAUCAGCCGACACCUUGGAAGUCAGACCGAGUCCUGCCAGAUUCUGAGCCGCGCCAAACGCUUCCUGCUGAGGGCCAUUCCUCAGUCUUCUACUUCCUCCAGGCUCCUCACACAGGUGAACCACCGUACCGCACACCAGUGUCAUGCGCUCCCUCUGAGUUCCCAUCUCUGUGCUGAUGUUUCCUGCAGCUGGAGACUCAGUGUGUGGACUUGGACCCAGAGGUGGCAGAAGCUCUGUCCACACACCGGGACCCUCACAUGUUGAGUUUUGACAUGGACUUCCUCUGAUAAGACACUGGAAGCCCAGCUCACCUGUCCUCAGCCGUCAAGCUGUCACUCUGAAUUUAAGCCAAGAAGAAAGAUUGAAAAUAAAUGAAAGAGUGACCUUGACUGAGUGUUUUAUUCACAUUAUGGCUGCUGUGAGAAAUAUGUCACAUCAGGCUUUCCACAUUUGGCGAGCUUGUUUUCUAUGACUGGAAUUGUUCAGUGGAUUUAAAAUGAGCUUUCCUGGCAAAAAAUACACUUUUUGAAACGACACACUGCCAUUUUGGGGAAGCCCUCUCUAAGAAUAGUCACAUGACUGAGCUGGAAAAUCAAAUAGGGCAGGAAUAGCUCCACUCUUACCCUCACUAUCUCACGUAACCCCACGAUGUCUGAAGUCCUCAUGGAUGGAUGCAUGCACGUACAGUAUGUAUACACACAUGGAUGCAUGCAUGCACGUACAGUAUGUAUACA